GAUAAGUGUGUACCCAUAUAUAACUAUUUCAUGUUCGGGUGUGUGGAAAAAUAGUCUGAUCUACAUGCCCUAAUCGUUCCGUGUUCGAGGGAUAAUAGUGUUUGAAGGUACUAAUAUAUGUCGUUCUAUGUUCGAGUACAUGGAGAACCAGUGAUAACUACAUGUGCCUACGCAUAAUAUGUGGUAACUGAUUAAUCUUCCAUAAUAGUGAUGAAGUAUACAACAUGAACUGGUUUUCUCAUUUGUGCAUUCAUCUUCUGAUUCGUAUAUGUUUUGAAAAGAUUAUAU
rnacentral:lncRNA from 1 species